rnacentral:lncRNA from 1 species
GUAGGGCCUGAAAAACAAAUGGAACUUUGCAGAGAACCCAAGAGUCCUUCUGCAUCUAAGGAAAAGCUGAGUGUGGACCUGCUGUCAGUGAAACAGGAAGAGGAAGGAGAGUCCUAUUCUGGAACCUCAUCCCGAGUCCAUGGAAGAUGAUUAACAAAAAAUCUUGAUAAUGGCUUCUUUGGGAAUGAUGCCAACUAAAUUGUUAUUAAGUCCAGAGGAAAUCAAUGCUGAUAUAAAAUGUGAAUUAAAGAAGUAAAUUCAGCAACCUGAACAAAGAAAUGAUGACUGAUGAACCAAAGUAGUUUGCUGUAGAGCCUAAAACACUAAAGAAACACCAUGGAGAACCCAGGAGUCCUUCCUCAUCUAAGAGGUCAAGUGUGGCAUUGCCGUCAAUGAAACAAACAAGAGAUGGAGAAUCCCAUCUUGGGGCCUCAUCUGUGUCCAUGAAGAUGAAUAUGAAAAAAUCUUCAAAUUGCUUAAAGGAGUGCAAGGACCUCCAGAUGUAAGGAAACAGUUUGUUGAAUUUGCCAUCAAAGAAGCAGCAAGAUUUAAAAGAGGGCACUUAAUCAAGCACCUUAAGAUAAUACUAGAAAAAAUAGAUUCUGACCAUUUUCUCAACAAAGACAUUUGCAUUCUAAACAUAUAAUCCUGUUAUCAUCAUGAUCAAUAAGAAAUAAUGACCAGAUUGCCAUCUUCUGGAUGGAAGGGAAUGUUGUCAAAGCCUCUCAGCAUGUAUUUGGUUAACAAAAUUGUCUCCAGAAGCUAAGAAAAAGCAUUGGAAAUUUAAUGUUAUAAAUUUCUGUUAGUAAAAGCUGGGCAUUUGCCCUAAGCAUUUUAUUUGAAUGAAUAAUUUGUUGUUUGUCUUUUCACCUGAGGUGGGGGUGUUAUUAAAUCACCCAGUAAAUACUGUUACAGUUCUGGUUUCUUCAGCAUGUCACCAUGUGUAGCUGGUAUUUAUUACUGCACCCUUUCCCUAUCCAUUUCUUAUUUUUCCUCCUGAGGCAGCACUGAGGCAAAACUCAGCUGGUUUUGGUGCUUGGCUUGAGGGAGGACUCCAACCUCAAUUACAAAAGAGUCUG